rnacentral:rRNA from 1 species
CGGGCGACGGUUGUCCCGGUUUAAGCAUGUAGGCUGGUUAUCCAGGCAAAUCCGGAUAAUCAAGGCUGAGGUGUGAUGACGAGGCACUACGGUGCUGAAGUAACAAAUGCCCUGCUUCCAGGAAAAGCCUCUAAGCAUCAGGUAACAUCAAAUCGUACCCCAAACCGACACAGGUGGUCAGGUAGAGAAUACCAAGGCGCUUGAGAGAACUCGGGUGAAGGAACUAGGCAAAAUGGUGCCGUAACUUCGGGAGAAGGCACGCUGGUGUGUAGGUGAAGUCCCUGCGGAUGGAGCUGAGACCAGUCGAAGAUACCAGCUG